AUUGAACGCUGGCGGCAGGCCUAACACAUGCAAGUCGAACGAGCGGCGGACAGGUGCGUAAUGUAUGGGGACUGCCCGUUAUAGGGGGAUAACUACUGGAAACGGUGGCUAAUAUCGCAUACUGUCUGAUAAUACAUAUGGGAGUAGCUAGUAGGUAAGGUAAUGGAUUACCUAGGCGACGAGCCCUACCUGAUCUGAGAGGAUGAUCAGCAACACUGGGACGGAGACACGGCCCAGACUCCUACGGAGGCAGCAGUGGGGAAUAUUGCACAAUGGGCGCAAGCCUGAUGCAGCCAUGCCGCGUGUAUGAAGAAGGCCUUAGGGUUGUAAAGUACUUUCAGUCGGGAGGCGUUACCUAAAGAAGAAGCACCGGCUAACUCCGUGCCAGCAGCCGCGGUAAUAC
rnacentral:rRNA from 1 species